AGCUUAGGGAGGAUACCUUGUGUCCAAACCAAGACAGACCUCAUCUCAGUCAAUUACAUCUGCCAUGACCCUAAUUCCAAAUAAGCCCACAUAUUUUAGUAUCCUUACAAUACUAGGGAUUAGGACUUCAAGGAAUAUCUGUGUGGGAGGAAGUAAGAAAAAGAAAAUGUAAGAGCCAAAGAUAAAAUAUAGCUAAAGAUCUUUGAUAUAAGAAGAAUAUGAAAUCUUCCUAAUGUGUUUGCUUUUGGUCCCCCCACCCACCCCCAGCUCCAUUUUCCACCAAGCCUACUUCACCUAGUGCCAUGGCUGAAGAUCAAUGCAACUAAUGCUUACUGCUUUCUCUUGGCUCAUACCCAUAUCUGGAGUGGUCGCCAAGAAGUGGUUCUUCCCUGCACUGAAACUGGAGACUACUAUGAUUAACUGAGGUGUAUUGAAUAACUGGCCCCAAUUCUUUGUUCAUCUCUGUAUCCACACUCUUUGCCACGUGGCUCUGCAGUUCCUCUCACAAAGGCAGCAUGUAUGUUCCCUCACCUUGGCUUUGGACUUAACUAUAAGACAUAUUUUGGCUUUUUGACAGAAAUGAUGCAAACUGGGGCUUAGUGAGAAUUUGUGCAGUAGGGCUUGUCCUCUAGCAUUCUGUCGUUGCUUUCAGAAUUCUCCAUUUGGGAUAGCUACUCUCUCUAUUCUGGGUUCCAGAAUGUAAAUAUAGCAGAAAAUCUGAGCUUGACAGAACCACAGCCUGAAGAGAGCCUUUCUGCUGAAUCCAGCCUGGAUCAGUUGACCACUGACUAAUCCACAGACAUGGGGAUGUAGGCCGAGUUCUUCUAAGAACUGACCUUUUAUGCCACAGUGCUCCUGAGGAUAUAGUGUGACAGACCUGCAUACCCUGCAGCUCAGCAGUCAGCCCCUGGAACAGAAAGACUAUAUACUCUUUGAGGACACAGUCUAUGUCUUUUGGUAUGUAUUCCUAUUGUCUAGUACAUAUAGGAGCCACAAAUGGAAGCUACAUGUUUAAUUUCACAUUAAAAACAAAAAG